UACGGAGGGGGCUAGCGUUGUUCGGAAUUACUGGGCGUAAAGCGCACGUAGGCGGCUUUGCGAGUCAGAGGUGAAAGCCCGGGGCUCAACCCCGGAAUUGCCUUUGAGACUGCAUCGCUAGAAUUGUGGAGAGGUAAGUGGAAUUCCGAGUGUAGAGGUGAAAUUCGUAGAUAUUCGGAAGAACACCAGUGGCGAAGGCGACUUACUGGACACAUAUUGACGCUGAGGUGCGAAAGCGUGGGGAGCAAACAGG
rnacentral:rRNA from 1 species